AUUGAACGCUGGCGGCAUGCCUUACACAUGCAAGUCGAACGGCAGCACGGGAGCAAUCCUGGUGGCGAGUGGCGAACGGGUGAGUAAAGUAUCGGAACGUGCCCAGUCGUGGGGGAUAACGUAGCGAAAGUUACGCUAAUACCGCAUACGAUCUAUGGAUGAAAGCGGGGGAUCGCAAGACCUCGCGCGAUUGGAGCGGCCGAUAUCAGAUUAGGUAGUUGGUGGGGUAAAGGCUCACCAAGCCGACGAUCUGUAGCUGGUCUGAGAGGACGACCAGCCACACUGGGACUGAGACACGGCCCAGACUCCUACGGGAGGCAGCAGUGGGGAAUUUUGGACAAUGGGAGAAAGCCUGACCCAGCCAUGCCGCGUGCAGGAUGAAGGCCUUCGGGUUGUAAACUGCUUUCGUACGGAACGAAAAGGUUUGGGCUAAUAAGCUGAGCUCAUGACGGUACCGUAAGAAUAAGCACCGGCUAACUACGUGCCAGCCGCCGCAGUAA
rnacentral:rRNA from 1 species